rnacentral:rRNA from 1 species
UUUAGAAUGUUAAUUGUUUUGUGUCUGAGUAGUAUUAGUUAUGUUCUUGAAACUCAAAGAAUUUGGCGGUAUCUCAUUCCUUCCAGAGGAAUCUGUCUCGUUAUCGAUAGUCCGCGUUGGACCUUACUUAGAAUUUAUUGGUUUGUAUACCGCCGUAUAUUGAUUAUCUUUUUAGAGUUAAUUUAAUUUUCUUGUUUCUUUAUUUUGAUUUAUUUCAGGUCAAGGUGCAGCUUUUUCUAAGUGGAAUGAUGGAUUACAUUAUUAUUUGUUUAUUGGAUUGUUGAUUUAAAUAUUGGCAUGAAAUUGGAUUUGGUUGUAAUGGUUUGUAGAUUGUUAUAGUGAUAGUUGGUUCUGGGAUAUGU